GACGAACCGUGCGAACGUUGUUCGGAAUCACUGGGCUUAAAGGGCGCGUAGGCGGGUUUUUAAGUCAGGGGUGAAAUCCUGGAGCUCAACUCCAGAACUGCCUUUGAUACUGAGGAUCUUGAGUUCGGGAGAGGUGAGUGGAACUGCGAGUGUAGAGGUGAAAUUCGUAGAUAUUCGCAAGAACACCAGUGGCGAAGGCGGCUCACUGGCCCGAUACUGACGCUGAGGCACGAAAGCGUGGGGAGCAAACAGG
rnacentral:rRNA from 1 species